GACGAACGCUGGCGGCGUGCCUAAUACAUGCAAGUCGAACGCAUUUUCUUUCACCGUAGCUUGCUACACCGAAAGAAAAUGAGUGGCGAACGGGUGAGUAACACGUGGGUAACCUGCCCAUCAGCGGGGGAUAACACUUGGAAACAGGUGCUAAUACCGCAUAAUUCCAUUUACCGCAUGGUAAAUGGAUGAAAGGCGCUUUUGCGUCACUGAUGGAUGGACCCGCGGUGCAUUAGCUAGUUGGUGGGGUAACGGCCUACCAAGGCUGCGAUGCAUAGCCGACCUGAGAGGGUGAUCGGCCACACUGGGACUGAGACACGGCCCAGACUCCUACGGGAGGCAGCAGUAGGGAAUCUUCGGCAAUGGACGCAAGUCUGACCGAGCAACGCCGCGUGAUUGAAGAAGGUUUUCGGAUCGUAAAACUCUGUUGUUAGAGAAGAACAAGGAUGAGAGUGGAAAGUUCAUCCCUUGACGGUAUCUAACCAGAAAGCCACGGCUAACUACG
rnacentral:rRNA from 1 species